CGGAAGAUCGUCAGCUGCGUGCUUUCCAGAAAGCUAAAAGGGAAGCCAUAUUGAGGAAAUGGCGCACGAAGAGUCUCCGAUCAAUAACGACCUUUGGAAGUAGAACGUCUAUCUGGGGGACAAUUACUGAAGAGCAGGUUUGAACACAUUUACAUCCAGAUUGGGCUUUCUGCAAAGUCACAUAGACUUGAAAAUCAAGGUCCAGUACAGAACACCUGAGAAACAAGAUACAAGAUAGGUUGGGUUGAUUAUUGUAAUGUUGGCAAUGGCACAUAAUGUUCUCUGAGUCAUACUGUAAACACGACAGAUGUUGUUCUGUCUUAGUCACAUGUACUGUAUGGCGUAUACCAAAUAAUCGAAAGGUGUUUUAAUGAUUUAAGAAGGACAUCAUUAAUUUUGUGCCUCUACACAUAAAACUCUGGAGAAUAGCGCGUCACAGUCUGGUUUCCAUAAAAUUGGAAAAACAAUGUCAGGACAAAACAAAACAGGAAAACAGUCUGAGCCGGUGAUGUUGGGCACAUUACAGAAGACUUGUCACUCAUUGAAGUGCAUCCAGCUGGAAAUGAUAAGAACAUUCACUCUAACAAAAGUUGUUUUCUUUGGCCACUGCUGGUUUAUAUAUGGUCAACAGAGAUGCAUUAUGUCACAUAAAAGCAUUGCUCAAUAGGUAGAACAAAAGACACAGGGCUGAUUUAUUGUAAAUGGAACAAAGGGCCCUUUGUGUUUGGGUUUAACUAUUUGUCUGCUUUCCCUCAUUGUUUAUUGACAUCACACCUUUGGGGAUCAGGGCAGCUUUAUCUAUGCAAAAGUAAGGGUUAUAGUUGAAAUUGUUUCCAAGCACCAGAAUGACAAGAAUGCCGAUAACACAUAAACUCUCCAACGUAAGUUUUGCGGUUUUAUAAUGGCAAUUUCCAGAACUUUGUCCAUAAUCUCUAAAGAUAUAAUUUGUGUCUUCUUCAGCUCCCACCUUUCCUCAAUGUAGCAAUUAACUGAUUUGAGAAACCUUCUUGUUUACCUUGACUCUGUGAGAAAAGCAGACUUUAUAAAAACAAGGACACAAACUCAAAACUGUUUUUUCAAAACUCUAACCUCACAGUCUUAUGAUGCUGAAAUCCACCACGGCCUGAGUAACAAACACAUGAUCUCAAGCAACACUGUAGGGUCCAAAUUUAUUAUUUUUCUGGUCACAUGUCUUUUAGUGCAGUAGUGAUUCUUUGGCAAAACACAUGUUGUGUUUUAAUUUAACCUGAUUGUUUGUUGCAUGAAAUGAUGAAGAUAAUUUUGUAAGGAUGCUUUACAAAACCUUCAUAUCUCUUAAGCUUUUCAGCAUUUUUUUUCACAUUAUAAAUUCAAGAUUCAAAUGCAUUUGAGAACAAAUUGUAAAACUGUAAUGGAAAAUUUUAUAAUAUGCCCCUCACCCCUCUUUUGCUUUAGAUUGUGUCAUGAUCUCAUCAUGAGAUUGGUCAAGCUGCUCUCUUAUAGACUUCUACAGUGCCGUAUAACAGCAGUGGAGGGGAGUGGCCUGUUCCCUUAAAAGGUGUCUUACCACAUAUAUUUCUGUUCUCACCUUGCAAGGUUUUAAUAAAGUACUUAUUUCCUUCUCAUCCAGACUCUUGUUAAAGUAAUUUUUUCCAUGACAAUAACAAAGCAACUGUAGGAUAAUUGUGAAGCGAGAAGAAAAUACUUAAAGACAAAUUGGAAAAGUGUGUUGUACAUUUACAUCCCCCUCCCCCCCUUACUCUGAUACACCUAAUUAAAAUCUAGUCACUUUCCAAGUAAUCUUACUUCUAAACAGGGUCCAAUCUCGUGAUGUUUCUUUUCACAUGGUGAUAGCAUCAUGCUUUGGGAAAGCUUUAACAGGAUCAACAAAGUUCGUGAGAAAUGACGGCAACAUGGAUGGCACAACAAUCCAGGAAAAAAAUAAAAUAAAACUUGCUAGAGGCAGCAAAAGAAUUGAGUGACCGAAGGUUUACCUUUCAACAGAACAGCAGUGCUAAACACACAAUGGGAUGGCUUAGAUCGAAAUAAUAGUGGCAGACAUUUGUGACUGUCUAUUGGUUCAGCAUACAAUUAUUAUUGCAGAGAAAAUUAAUUACUUAAAAUCUCAGAACUCCACUCUUUAUGACCCCAAGUAGGUUCCUUACCCCAACUUUGUGAAGCACUCACUUAGAACAAAUCAUAUUUGCAUGUUUAGAAUGGGCAAUUCAAAAUCCAGAGCUAAAACCAAUUAAUAAUCUGUAGCAAGACUUAGCAUUGCUGUUCACAAAGAAAACGUUCACCAUCCAGCAUGACAACAACCCUAAAGAUAUGGCCAGAUGGCUUAGAUCAAAGCAUAUUUCUGAAAAAGAAUGGCCCAGUCAAAGUCCAGGCUUAAAGCCAGCUGGCAAUCUUUGAAGAUUAAUAUUUGAAAAUACCGUCCAUCCAGUCUGAGCAGGACUACAUUCCGAAGAAGAUGUAGAGAAAGAAAUUUCAGAGGGCAAAUUGGUAAUAACUUUCAUUCAGUUGUGCAAUUACGUGCUUAUCUAGGUCAAGUAGAUAAAGUCAAAAUCAGAUAUAAUGGACUUUGAAAUAACUAAAAAAAUGUAAAAGACAAAAACAAAAUCCAACCCACACCCCUAAAAGGUAUGAAUACUUUUCAUGGGACUGCAAAUGCAGAAUAUAGAGCAAAUGUCAGUUCUUGAGUGGGAUCAAAGUAGUGUCAUUCACAUACGACGAGCUGAACUUUCUGGUGCAAGUUAUCUACAUUGCAAAUUAAUUUUUAACUUUAGAAAUGCUCUCUGAUGAAUCUCAUUUACUGCGUAAGUGAAACGGCGCCCCCUGGCGCAUAUUACGGUAGCUACAAUUGAAUUGUUUCUACUAUCUUGCUGCUUGAGGUCAAUUUUCAUAUGAACAAAUUACUAUUAAUAUUAUUUUUUAUUGUUAUUAGUUGUUGUUUUUUUUUACAAAAAAUAAACACAAGGGUUUGAGUUUAUACCUAAUUUUACAUAAAUAAUGUAAGCGAAAGUAAACUAUAUCUUUUGUAGGAAUAUUUUCAGUUUCGGUAUAAAAUGAGUUAACAGAGCUUGUUUAUUAAAUUGUAAAUGAGACAAGAUCCUUUAAAUCUGAUAAGGAUUUUAUAUUACUGGUACUCAUAUUGAACAGGGGAAGUUAAUUUGUUGUAUGGGACUUUGGGAUCUUUGUAAUUUUGUAAUGGUGUCAGACAGAGUUGAGUCCCCUGGUCUCUAUAUCUGUCAUUCUGUUCCCUUCCACUGAUGAGUCAUGACUUGCAAAAAUUACUUACUGGUAUCCAGUAUAACAUUCUGUUUACCCUUAAAGGAAGUGUUGUUAUGAUUACUACAAUUAGGGAGGCUCAUACACUACAUUUUUGGUCAGUACAGUGAGAUCCUUGCAAAAGUGUUCACGCCCAUCUCGCUUUUUCUUUUUUGACACGUUGCAACCACAAACACGUGUAUUUUAUUGGAACUAUGUGUGGUAUACCAACUCAGAAGAGUAUAUGUUUGUUUUGUGAGAGGAGACAAUACAGCAUUUCUUAUUUUCUAUUAAGAAUCAGGCAAGUGUGUGGAAUGCAUUUGCAAGAUUUGUCUUUCACUGCAAAAUCAGCUGGAAAUAUUUGGGGUAUGUCACCACUUUGCACUUUUAGAGACUGAAAUGCAGCUUGGAUGGAGAACAUAUUGCUCUUGCAACAGAUUCUCAGUUGGAUUUUAUUUUUGUCAAUUCUGACAGGAAAAUUGUUUGAUCUAAACAAUCUUGCAGUAUUCCCAGUCAAUAUGCUACUGAAAGACAAACCACUGCCCCAGUCUAGUCUUUUGCAGUCACAAACCGAUUUUCUUUCAGGAUUUGUCAUCACUUCUGGUCACCUUCCUUGUCUCUGCUGAAGAAAACCACACCCACAGCCUGAUGCUGCUACAAACAUAGUAGCGUAAUGGCGAGAAGGAUGUGGAGUUUCAGUUUUCACAAAAGGGUAGAUUUAUGUCUAAAAUUUGUUCUCUCACCAGAUUCUCCCACCUGAGCCAUGGAUCUGCACAGUUCCCAUAUAACUCGAGGCAGCUCUUCUGCUCUCCAACUCCAAGAAGAUUUGUAGAUGUGACUUGCUUUUUUCCAUUUUUGGGUGACAAAAUGAACACUGCUCUGUGUUUUGUCAAAAUCUUUGUUGUAUUGUUUUAUAACCUAACCCUGCAUCAAACUUCUCUGCAACUCUGUCUCAAUUAGCUGUUUUUUUUAGUUGUCAUGAUGCUGGUUGUCACUAAUGAUAGCUGACAUUGGUACAUAACUGCCACCAAGUGGCAUGGAGUGUGGAUGGAGAUGCUAACUUAUACUUGGAAACUUCAUAAACUUAGAAACUACAUUGUCUUAAUUAAUUUACUCUUCUUAAUGCACAUACAAAAUGCGUAAUAAAUUAAAUUUAACAGUA